rnacentral:rRNA from 1 species
UGAAAGGCCAAUCAAACUUCGUGAUAGCUGGUUCUCUCCGAAAUAUAUUUAGGUAUAGCGUUGUGUCGUAAUAUAAGGGGGUAGAGCACUGAAUGGGCUAGGGCAUACACCAAUGUACCAAACCCUAUCAAACUCCGAAUACCUUAUAUGUAAUCACAGCAGUCAGGCGGCGAGUGAUAAAAUCCGUCGUCAAGAGGGAAACAACCCAGACUACCAGCUAAGGUCCCUAAAUCUUACUUAAGUGGAAAACGAUGUGAAGUUACUUAAACAACCAGGAGGUUGGCUUAGAAGCAGCCAUCCUUUAAAGAAAGCGUAAUAGCUCACUGGUCUAGUGAUUUUGCGCGGAAAAUAUAACGGGGCUAAAGUAAGUACCGAAGCCGUAGACUUGCGCACAACUUAGAUUAUUUAAGUUUAGAAUAUGAGAAACUAAGUUAUGUUUAGUUAUAUUUUUACUGAUUUUUAUAGAGUAAAGAUAGAAAUAAAACUUAGUAAAAUCAGUAAAAAUAUUCUUAGGCUAAAGUUAAGUAGUUUAAGUUGUGUGCAAGUGGUAGGAGAGCGUUCUAUUUGCGUCGAAGGUAUACCGGUAAGGAGUGCUGGAGCGAAUAGAAGUGAGCAUGCAGGCAUGAGUAGCGAUAAUUAAUGUGAGAAUCAUUAACGCCGUAAACCCAAGGUUUCCUACGCGAUGCUCGUCAUCGUAGGGUUAGUCGGGUCCUAAGUCGAGUCCGAAAGGGGUAGACGAUGGCAAAUUGGUUAAUAUUCCAAUACCAACAUUAGUGUGCGAUGGAAGGACGCUUAGGGCUAAGGGGGCUAGCGGAUGGAAGUGCUAGUCUAAGGUCGUAGGAGGUUAUACAGGCAAAUCCGUAUAACAAUACUCCGAGAACUGAAAGGCUUUUUGAAGUCUUCGGAUGGAUAGAAGAACCCCUGAUGCCGUCGAGCCAAGAAAAGUUUCUAAGUUUAGCUAAUGUUGCCCGUACCGUAAACCGACACAGGUGGGUGGGAUGAGUAUUCUAAGGCGCGUGGAAGAACUCUCUUUAAGGAACUCUGCAAAAUAGCACCGUAUCUUCGGUAUAAGGUGUGGUUAGCUUCGUACUAGGAUUUACUCCGAAAGCGAAGAAACUUACAACAAAGAGUCCCUCCCGACUGUUUACCAAAAACACAGCACUCUGCUAACUCGUAAGAGGAUGUAUAGGGUGUGACGCCUGCCCGGUGCUCGAAGGUUAAUUGAUGGGGUUAGCAUUAGCGAAGCUCUUGAUCGAAGCCCGAGUAAACGGCGGCCGUAACUAUAACGGUCCUAAGGUAGCGAAAUUCCUUGUCGGUUAAAUACCGACCUGCAUGAAUGGCGUAACGAGAUGGGAGCUGUCUCAAAGAGGGAUCCAGUGAAAUUGUAGUGGAGGUGAAAAUUCCUCCUACCCGCGGCAAGACGGAAAGACCCCGUGGACCUUUACUACAGCUUGACACUGCUACUUGGAUAAGAAUGUGCAGGAUAGGUGGGAGGCUUUGAGUAUAUGACGCCAGUUGUAUAUGAGCCAUUGUUGAGAUACCACUCUUUCUUAUUUGGGUAGCUAACCGGCUUGAGUUAUCCUCAAGUGGGACAAUGUCUGGUGGGUAGUUUGACUGGGGCGGUCGCCUCCCAAAUAAUAACGGAGGCUUACAAAGGUUGGCUCAGAACGGUUGGAAAUCGUUCGUAGAGUAUAAAGGUAUAAGCCAGCUUAACUGCAAGACAUACAAGUCAAGCAGAGACGAAAGUCGGUCUUAGUGAUCCGGUGGUUCUGUGUGGAAGGGCCAUCGCUCAAAGGAUAAAAGGUACCCCGGGGAUAACAGGCUGAUCUCCCCCAAGAGCUCACAUCGACGGGGAGGUUUGGCACCUCGAUGUCGGCUCAUCGCAUCCUGGGGCUGGAGCAGGUCCCAAGGGUAUGGCUGUUCGCCAUUUAAAGCGGUACGCGAGCUGGGUUCAGAACGUCGUGAGACAGUUCGGUCCCUAUCUGCCGUGGGCGUAAGAAGAUUGAAGAGAUUUGACCCUAGUACGAGAGGACCGGGUUGAACAAACCACUGGUGUAGCUGUUGUUCUGCCAAGAGCAUCGCAGCGUAGCUAAGUUUGGAAAGGAUAAACGCUGAAAGCAUCUAAGCGUGAAGCCAACUCUAAGAUGAAUCUUCUCUAAGCUCUCUAGAAGACUACUAGUUUGAUAGGCUGGGUGUGUAAUGGAUGAAAGUCCUUUAGCUGACCAGUACUAAUAGAGCGUUUGGCUUAUCUUUAAUAAAGCAU